GCCCUGUUGGACUAACGGCGUUG
rnacentral:miRNA from 1 species